AUGUGGAAUUGGAAAUCCAUUGCCAAAUCUCAGAUCUGGAGGCUGAAAAGUCCACAACCAAGGUGCUGGCAUCUGGUUUGGUGAGUCCUUCUUGCUGCAUCACCCCGUGGCAAAAGGUGGAAUGGCAAGCUAACCAAAUGCUACAUGAAGCCUCUUUUAUAAGGCCCUUAAUCCUGUUAAUGAAGGAGGAGCCCUAAAGGCUUAAUCACCUGUGAAAGGCACCAUCUCUUAAUGCCAUCACAUUGGCAACAUCUUUAUUUUGGAGGGGACACAUUCAAAUGAUAGCAUCCAUUCAUCUCUUGUUGGACAUUUGGGCUGAUUCUGGUGUUUGGCUAUUAUGAAUAAUCCUGCUGUGAGCAUUAAUGCACAGCUGUUUGUGUGAAAAUGCUUCCUUUUAUUUACUACCUAAAAGGUAGCAUUCUAUAGACGUAUCUUUGGCACUUUGCUUUUUCACUGUAACUUUAUUUUAGAAGUCACUCCACUUAAGUUUGUAGUGAUUUUUCUCACUUUUUUUUUUUUUUUUUUUUUUUUACAGCCACAUAGUAUUCUAUUGUAUGGAUGUACCAUAGCUUAUUCAACAAUAAACCUAUGUAUGGACAUUUAGAUUCUUUCCAAUAGUUUGCAAUUAUAAACAAUGUUGUGA